rnacentral:rRNA from 1 species
UUCCAUGAAGCCGGAAUUGCUAGUAAUGGCAGGUCAGCAUACUGCCGUGAAUACGUUCCCGGGCCUUGUACACACCGCCCGUCACACCAUGAGAGUUGGAGAUACCCGAAGCCUGUGAGCUAACAAACGAGGCAGCAGUCGAAGGUAGAAUCAAUGAUUGGGGUGAAGUCGUAACAAGGUAAC